rnacentral:rRNA from 1 species
AUACGGAGGAUCCGAGCGUUAUCCGGAUUUAUUGGGUUUAAAGGGUGCGCAGGCGGGAGAUUAAGUCGGCGGUGAAAUUUUGCAGCUCAACUGUAAAAGUGCCUUCGAAACUGGUUUCCUUGAGUGUAGAUGAAGUAGGCGGAAUUUGUGGUGUCGCGGUGAAAUGCAUAGAUAUCACGAGGAACUCCGAUUGCGCAGGCAGCUUACUAAACUACUACUGACGCUCAGGCACGAAGGCGUGGGGAUCAAACAGGAUUAGAUACCCUGGUAGUCCACGCAGUAAACGAUGAUUACUAGCUGUUUGCGAUACAAUGUAAGCGGCUGAGCGAAAGCGUUAAGUAAUCCACCUGGGGAGUACGUUCGCAAGAAUGAAACUCAAAUGAAUUGACGGGG